rnacentral:snoRNA from 1 species
AUGCAUCUCUGACAGAGCUGGAGCAGUUAAAGUCUUCUGCUGUUUCCACUGUAGAUGCAAGAAAAAGAAGGUCCUUGCGCUUUCUGUCUGUCUGAUGUGGCAACCAAGAUUGAAUGGGGAAAUACAGGA